CCGGAGCGGGAGAUUGUGGGUUCGAGUCCCAUCGCGAUCGUUUUCUUUCUUAAUUAAUUUGUUUAUUUUAUUUUUAUUUUUUUAAAGUUAGGAUAAAAAGUAAUCUGCUUCCUACUACUCUGGUUUCUCUCGAAGUCUACAAAUGUUCCAUGCGUUAGAGUAAAUGGCAAAGAGCUUUGGACACCCAUCUUUCUACCAUAAUAUAGUUUGUUUUAAAUAUACAUAAAAUUCUAAGUGCUUAGAUAUAUGUUUUAUCAUAUUUCAGGGAGAGUAGUCUUGUAUCAUACGUUAUUAUAUAUUCUCUCUGAUCAAAGCCUCAAGUCAGAUUCUCCUCUUAAGUAAGAAAGCACUUACUUUUUGUUAAUUGCUCGAGCAAGUUUUUCCAAAUAAAGUUUGCCUGAUACAAUAUCAUAGAAAUUAUCUAAGAAACAGGUUCUACAUCCAUCUCUUGUAUUCACUAAGCAGCCUUUUUUGAUUUGCUCGUUCUUCGACUGUAACGGUGGACUUCUACCUUUCUCUUGCUACUUAUAAUUUACAUGUGGGAAAGGUUUCAGUAGUUGCAAGUUCUCUCAACUUCAGAUUAGAUGUUAACGCGCGCGCACACACACACACACACACGUACUUCUGGUUUCUUGCAGUCCGCACACACAUAACACACACUUACUUCUGGUUUCUUGCAGUCCGCAUCCUCCACACACACACACACACAAACACGUACUUCUGGUUUCUUGCGGUCCGCAUCCUCCACACACACACACACACAAACACGUUUCUUGCAGUCCGCAUCCUCCACACACACGUACCAUACACACACACACACACACACACACACACACACACACACACGUACUUCUGGUUUCUUGCAGUCCGCAUCCUCCACACACACGUACCACACACGCACACACACACACACACACACACACACACACGUACUUCUGGUUUCUUGCAGUCCGCAUCCUCCACACACACACACACACACACACACACACACACUCUUACACUUCUGGUUUCUUGCAGUCCGCAUCCUCCACAUUAUGGAUAGUUUUGCAAAAUUAAGCAUCCACACACACACAAUUCUGGUUUCUUGCACACACUUCUGGUUUCUUGCAGUCCGCAUCCUCCACAUUAUGGAUAGUUUUGCAAAAGUAAGCAUCCACACACACACACACACACACACACACACACACACAAUUCUGGUUUCUUGCAGUCCGCAUCCUCCACAUUAUGGAUAGUUUUGCAAAAGCGCAUCCACCACAUUAUGGAUAGUUUUGCAAAAGUAAGCAUCCACACACACACAGUUCUGGUUUCUUGCAGUCCGCAUCCUCCACAUUAUGGAUAGUUUUGCAAAAGCGCAUCCGCCACAUUAUGGAUAGUUUUGCAAAAGUAAGCAUCAUAAGUGGAAUUUUUUUAUUUAUUCUGGUAACAGAGAAACACACACACACCUCAAUUACAUGAUUCUGGUAUCUUGCAGUCCGCAUCCUCCACAUUAUGGAUAGUUUUGCAAAAGUUUCAAGAGUUAGGUCGCUUAAUGAGUUUGAUUCAAAGUUCUCUGGUUGAUCUUCUACCACACGUUUUGCCGGCAAAUGUAAAGAGUGUAAAUUGACUGGAUUGUAUAGGAUUUAUGAUGAAACACCGUAUUGUUGUAUUCUAUUUCGGUUGAAUUUAUUGAUGUAAAAAAUUAACUA